AUGGCCUUGUCCCCAAUGAACCAAGAACACACAGCCAUGACCAUGAUCCAUCCUAAAAGAUUUGCUCAGUUUGUGAGGAAGUGGCAAAGGGUCAGGACAACAUCCAGCGACAACGAAGCAGGCUGCACAACACCACAGGGCACAGAUAAAGGCCACUGCGCUGUGUACAUGGCCAAUGCCAGGAGGCUUAAGUUCUCCCUGACUUGCCUCAACAAGACAAUCUUCGGCGAGCUGCUAAGGAUGCCCCAGGAGGAGUUUGGGUUUACAUGUGAUGGCAGGAUCACACUGCCCUUCGAUGCAGCGGUGAUUGAGUAUGUCAUGUGCUUGCUCAGAAGAAAUGCAUCAAAGUAG
rnacentral:rRNA from 1 species